UACCACUUCCGGGUACAUCGGCAGACUUUUUUACCGUUACGCAUAUAGGUAACCCGAAGAACUCGAGGGAUAUAGAAGUUAAAUUUGUUUCGGUCCUCUUCAGAUUUGAAGGAAUGGAUAGCGCGGGUCAAAAAAUGCAGAUGUAUAGACAAGGAGGUAUAUGACAAGUAUAGAAUAUACAGUUGUUCAAUAUGUACCAUUAAUCAACUGUUUGCACUGCCUAUGAUCCUGAAAUAUCUAUACACCAAAGAUAAAAAGGGAAAAGAUGAAGGAGGAUUUGUCCAUGAAGACCUUUAUUGCAACUACCAUCUUCCAGUUCCUUAAUUUGAGAAUGAUAUCAGAGAACACACAGUUACAGUGAAAUAUUAGUUUAAUAUAAGCCACUGAAAAUAGUCAAAUGUACUUUCCUGAAGAAGAUGAAUGACAUCCAGCACAAAAAUCUUAAUGUAUAAAGAGUAUGAUUUUAUGGUGUUUAACACUAUGAUCUUGUUAACAUGUUAAUGUCACAAUGAUAUAAACAGAGUAAAAUAUCCACAUAUAAUUGCAGUUUUAAGUAUUAAAACUAGAUACUCUAUAUAUACCAAAGCUGAUAACACACCAGAGAUAAGGUUUUUUCAUGGAAUCACAGUAGAGUCAUAUGACAUUAUGGACAUUAAAUGACUAUGAAGUAAAGAUUAGCAAAAAUAUUAUAUAUCAUCUACUACUAAUAUUGUGAGGUAAUCAUUGAUAAGCUCACAAAUUUGCAAUCAAAGCUUUGAUAUCAAGCUGAACAUUUUUCAAUUAGAAUAUGAUUUAUAACUUGAUAAUUUGUUCAUGUUAAUUUUCAAAGUCUUUACAUUUGUAAAAGGAAAUACUCUUAUUCUUGUAUCAGUAGACCUUCACAGUGUAAAGUUACAUUGUCCAAAUAACUAAUAAUAAUUGCAAGUGCUUUCCUGAAGUUUUUCUUCCACAGGAAAAUCAGUGUGAUAUAUAUGCUAAGCCGUGCACUAUAAAUUGUGUAAAGAUAAAGAUCAUAAGAGUUCAUCUGCAAAAUAAGUGUCACUGUGUACUUUAAUUCUCUAACAGCAAUGGCUAGAUUGCUUGAAUAUGCAAGCAUUGACUAUAUUAAAUACUAUGCAUGUCAUUUGAAUUUUGUCUGUCCUGAAAUCGAAACAGACACUAUCUAAAUAAUAUUGAUGAAAAGUUCUUGACAGCUCUUCAAUGACUACAUUUACACAAAUGUACAUGGACAAAAGUUAAAA